rnacentral:rRNA from 1 species
GAUGAACGCUGGCGGCGUGCCUAAUACAUGCAAGUCGAGCGAACAGAUAAGGAGCUUGCUCCUUUGACGUUAGCGGCGGACGGGUGAGUAACACGUGGGUAACCUACCUAUAAGACUGGGAUAACUUCGGGAAACCGGAGCUAAUACCGGAUAAUAUUUCGAACCGCAUGGUUCGAUAGUGAAAGAUGGUUUUGCUAUCACUUAUAGAUGGACCCGCGCCGUAUUAACUAGUUGGUAAGGUAACGGCUUACCAAGGCGACGAUACGUAGCCGACCUGAGAGGGUGAUCGGCCACACUGGAACUGAGACACGGUCCAGACUCCUACGGGAGGCAGCAGUAGGGAAUCUUCCGCAAUGGGCGAAAGCCUGACGGAGCAACGCCGCGUGAGUGAUGAAGGUCUUCGGAUCGUAAAACUCUGUUAUUAGGGAAGAACAUACGUGUAAGUAACUGUGCACGUCUUGACGGUACCUAAUCAGAAAGCCACGGCUAACUACGUGCCAGCAGCCGCGGUAAUACGUAGGUGGCAAGCGUUAUCCGGAAUUAUUGGGCGUAAAGCGCGCGUAGGCGGUUUUUUAAGUCUGGUGUGAAAGCCCACGGCUCAACCGUGGAGGGUCAUUGGAAACUGGAAAACUUGAGUGCAGAAGAGGAAAGUGGAAUUCCAUGUGUAGCGGUGAAAUGCGCAGAGAUAUGGAGGAACACCAGUGGCGAAGGCGACUUUCUGGUCUGUAACUGACGCUGAUGUGCGAAAGCGUGGGGAUCAAACAGGAUUAGAUACCCUGGUAGUCCACGCCGUAAACGAUGAGUGCUAAGUGUUAGGGGGUUUCCGCCCCUUAGUGCUGCAGCUAACGCAUUAAGCACUCCGCCUGGGGAGUACGACCGCAAGGUUGAAACUCAAAGGAAUUGACGGGGACCCGCACAAGCGGUGGAGCAUGUGGUUUAAUUCGAAGCAACGCGAAGAACCUUACCAAAUCUUGACAUCCUUUGACAACUCUAGAGAUAGAGCUUUCCCCUUCGGGGGACAAAGUGACAGGUGGUGCAUGGUUGUCGUCAGCUCGUGUCGUGAGAUGUUGGGUUAAGUCCCGCAACGAGCGCAACCCUUAAGCUUAGUUGCCAUCAUUAAGUUGGGCACUCUAAGUUGACUGCCGGUGACAAACCGGAGGAAGGUGGGGAUGACGUCAAAUCAUCAUGCCCCUUAUGAUUUGGGCUACACACGUGCUACAAUGGACAGUACAAAGGGCAGCGAAACCGCGAGGUCAAGCAAAUCCCAUAAAGUUGUUCUCAGUUCGGAUUGUAGUCUGCAGCUCGACUACAUGAAGAUGGAAUCGCUAGUAAUCGUAGAUCAGCAUGCUACGGUGAAUACGUUCCCGGGUC